UACGGAGGGGGCUAGCGUUGUUCGGAAUUACUGGGCGUAAAGCGCACGUAGGCGGCUUUGUAAGUCAGAGGUGAAAGCCCGGGGCUCAACCCCGGAUGUGCCUUUGAGACUGCAUCGCUUGAACACGGGAGAGGUGAGUGGAAUUCCGAGUGUAGAGGUGAAAUUCGUAGAUAUUCGGAAGAACACCAGUGGCGAAGGCGGCUCACUGGACCGUUGUUGACGCUGAGGUGCGAAAGCGUGGGGAGCAAACAGG
rnacentral:rRNA from 1 species